rnacentral:rRNA from 1 species
CCUACGGGCGGCACCAGUGGGGAAUAUUGCACAAUGGGCGCAAGCCUGAUGCAGCCAUGCCGCGUGUAUGAAGAAGGCCUUCGGGUUGUAAAGUACUUUCAGCGGGGAGGAAGGCGAUAAGGUUAAUAACCUUGUCGAUUGACGUUACCCGCCGAAGAAGCACCGGCUAACUCCGUGCCAGCAGCCGCGGUAAUACGGAGGCUGCAAGCGUUAAUCGGAAUUACUGGGCGUAAAGCGCACGCAGGCGGUCUGUCAAGUCGGAUGUGAAAUCCCCGGGCUCAACCUGGGAACUGCAUUCGAAACUGGCAGGCUAGAGUCUUGUAGAGGGGGGUAGAAUUCCAGGUGUAGCGGUGAAAUGCGUAGAGGUCUGGAGGAAUACCGGUGGCGAAGGCGGCCCCCUGGACAAAGCCUGACGCUCAGGUGCGAAAGCGUGGGGAGCAAACAGGAUUAGAUACCCCCGUAGUC